UGCAAGUCGAACGGUAACAGGCCGCAAGGUGCUGACGAGUGGCGAACGGGUGAGUAAUGCAUCGGAACGUGCCCAGUCGUGGGGGAUAACGCAGCGAAAGCUGCGCUAAUACCGCAUACGAUCUAUGGAUGAAAGCGGGGGACCGUAAGGCCUCGCGCGAUUGGAGCGGCCGAUGUCAGAUUAGGUAGUUGGUGGGGUAAAGGCUCACCAAGCCAACGAUCUGUAGCUGGUCUGAGAGGACGACCAGCCACACUGGGACUGAGACACGGCCCAGACUCCUACGGGAGGCAGCAGUGGGGAAUUUUGGACAAUGGGCGCAAGCCUGAUCCAGCAAUGCCGCGUGCAGGAAGAAGGCCUUCGGGUUGUAAACUGCUUUUGUACGGAACGAAACGGCUCUGGUUAAUACCUGGGGCUGGGGGCGGUACCGUAAGAAUAAGCACCGGCUAACUACGUGCCAGCAGCCGCGGUAAUACGUAGGGUGCAAGCGUUAAUCGGAAUUACUGGGCGUAAAGCGUGCGCAGGCGGUUUUGUAAGACAGGCGUGAAAUCCCCGGGCUCAACCUGGGAAUGGCGCUUGUGACUGCAAAGCUGGAGUGCGGCAGAGGGGGAUGGAAUUCCGCGUGUAGCAGUGAAAUGCGUAGAUAUGCGGAGGAACACCGAUGGCGAAGGCAAUCCCCUGGGCCUGCACUGACGCUCAUGCA
rnacentral:rRNA from 1 species